rnacentral:snRNA from 1 species
AUACUUACCUGGCACAGGAGAUACCGGAUCACGAAGGCGGUUCUCCCAGGGGCGAGGCACACCAUUGCCUCCGGGGUGCUGACCUUGCGAUUAACCCAAAUGUGGUUAACUCGAGUGCGCAAUUUUUGUUAGUGGGGACGGGCGUUCGCGUUUAUCCCCC